AUUGAACGCUGGCGGCAGGCCUAACACAUGCAAGUCGAACGAGUGGCGGACGGGUGAGUAAUGUCUGGGAAACUGCCUGAUGGAGGGGGAUAACUACUGGAAACGGUAGCUAACACCGCAUACCAUCAGAUGUGCCCAGAUGGGAUUAGCUUGUUGGUGAGGUAACGUCUCACCAAGGGGACGAUCCCUAGCUGGUCUGAGAGGAUGACACGCCCCACUGGACCGGAGACGCGACCCAGAAUCCUACUGGAGGCAGCGGUGGGGACAAUUGCACAAUGGGCGCUAGCCCGAUGCAGCCAGGCCGAGUGUAUGAAGAAGGCCUUCGGGUUGUGAAGUACUUUCGGCGGGGAGGCGUUGCCCGCAGCAGAAGCACCGGCUAACUCCGUGCCAGCAGCCGCGGUAAUAC
rnacentral:rRNA from 1 species